AUCCAGCUGACGAGUCCCAAGCGGGACGAAACGCGCGUCCUGGAU
rfam:Schistosoma margrebowiei strain Zambia genome assembly, scaffold: SMRZ_scaffold0001605